rnacentral:rRNA from 1 species
UACGAAGGGAGCUAGCGUUGUUCGGAAUCACUGGGCGUAAAGGGCGCGUAGGCGGUUCGUUAAGUCCUGUGUGAAAUCCCCCGGCUCAACUGGGGAACUGCACAGGAAACUAGCGGGCUUGAGUUCGGGAGAGGGAAGCGGAAUUCCGGGUGUAGCGGUGAAAUGCGUAGAUAUCCGGAGGAACACCGGUGGCGAAGGCGGCUUCCUGGACCGACACUGACGCUGAGGCGCGAAAGCUAGGGGAGCAAACGGG